GCCUGGGUAGCUCAGUUGGUAGAGCACUUGCCCGCAAAAGGCAAAGGUCCCGAGUUCGAGUCUCGGUCCGGCACA
rnacentral:tRNA from 1 species